UACCUGGUUGAUCCUGCCAGUAGUCAUAUGCUUGUCUCAAAGAUUAAGCCAUGCAUGUGUAAGUAUAAACAAAUUUAUACUGUGAAAUUACGAAUGGCUCAUUCAAUCAGUUAUAGUUUGUUUGAUAGUAUCUACUACUGGGAUAACCAUAGUAAUUCUUGAGCUAAUACGUGGAACAAACCAUACAUGUGGAAGGGAUGCAUUUAUUAGAUAAAAGGUCGACGCGGUCUCUGCCCAUUAUUGCGAUGAUUCGUGAUAACUCGACGGAUCGCAUGGCCACCGUGCCACAUUCAAAUUUCUGCCCUAUCAACUUUCGAUGGUAGGAUAGUGGCCUACCAUGGUGGUGACAAGUGAUGGAGAAUUAGGGUUUGAUUUUAGAGAGGGAGCCUGAGAAAUGGCUACCACAUCCAAGGAAGGCCGUAGGCGCGCAAAUUACCCAAUUCUUACACGGGAAGGUAGUGAGAAUUGGGUAAUUUGGAGGGCAAGUCUAGUGCUAGGAGCCGCGGUAAUUCCAGCUCCAAUAGUGUAUAUUUAAGUUGUUGUAGUUAAAAAGCUCGUAGUUUGACUUUGGGAUAGGCCGGCCGAUCCUUCCUAGGUGUGCAUUAGUCGUCUCGUCCCUUCUGUCGGCGAUGUGCUCCUGGCCUUAAUUGGAUGGGUUGUGCCUCCAGCGCUUUUACUUUGAACAAAUUAGAGUGCUCAAAGCAAGCCUACGCUCUGUAUACAUUAGCAUGGGAUAAAAUUAUAGGAUUUCGGUCCUAUUACAUUGGCCUACGGGAUCGGAUUAAUGAUUAAAAGGGACCGUCGGGGGGUAUUCGUAUUUCAUAGUCAGAGGUGAAAUUUUUAAAUUUUUGAAAGACGAACAACUGCGAAAGCAUUUACCAAGGUUGUUUUCAAUAAUCAAGAAUGAAAGUUGGGGGCUCGAAGACGAUCAUUUACCGUCCUAGUCUCAACCAAAAAUAAUGCUGACGAGGGAUCGACGGAUGUUGCUUUUAGGACUAUGCCGGCACCUUAUGAGAAAUCAAAGUUUUCUGGUUUCGGGGGGAGUAUGGUCGCAAGGCUGAAACUUAAAGGUAUUGAUGGAAGGGCACCACCAGCAAUGGAGCCUGCGGCUUAAUUUGACUAAACACGGGGAAACUUACCAGGUACAGACCAUAGUAAAGGGAUUGACAAAACUGAGAGCUCUUUCUUGAUUCUAUGGGUGGUGGUGCAUGGCCCUUCUUAGUUGGUGGAGCGAUUUGUCUAGUUAAUUCUGUUAACGAACGAGACCUCAGCCUACUAACUAUCUAUGCAGAGGUAUCCCUUUGCGGCCAGCUUCUUAGAGGGACUACAGCCUUUUAGGUUACGGAAGUUUGAGGCAAUAAUAGGUUUGUGAUGCCCUUAAAUGUUCUCGGCCGCACACGUGCUACACGGAUGUAUUCAACGAGCUUAUAGCCAUGGUCGAUAGGCCUGGGUAGUCUUUGAAAUUUCAUAGUGAUGUGGAUAGAUCAUUGCAAUUGUUGGUCUUCAACGAGGAAUACCUAUUAAGCGCGAGUCAUCAGCUCGCGUUGACUAUCUCCAUGCUCUUUGUACACACCGCCCGUCGCUCCUACCUAUUAAAUAAUUGGGUGAAAUGUUUGGAUUGCGGUGAUGUGGGCGGUUCGCUGUCCCCAACGUCACGAGUAGUCCAUUGAACCUUAUUAUUUAGAGGAAAGAGAAGUCGUAACAAGGUUUCCGUAGUUGAACUUGCGGAAGGAUCAUUG
rfam:Solanum tuberosum cultivar DM 1-3 516 R44 scf00427_46, whole genome shotgun sequence.